AGAGUUUGAUCCUGGCUCAGGACGAACGCUGGCGGCGUGCUUAACACAUGCAAGUCGAACGAUGAAGCCAGCUUGCUGGUGGAUUAGUGGCGAACGGGUGAGUAACACGUGGGUGAUCUGCCCCAAACUUUGGGAUAAGCCUGGGAAACUGGGUCUAAUACCGAAUAUGACCAAUUCCUGCAUGGGGGUUGGUGGAAAGCUCCGGCGGUUUGGGAUGGGCCCGCGGCCUAUCAGCUUGUUGGUGGGGUAAUGGCCUACCAAGGCGACGACGGGUAGCCGGCCUGAGAGGGCGACCGGCCACACUGGGACUGAGACACGGCCCAGACUCCUACGGGAGGCAGCAGUGGGGAAUAUUGCACAAUGGGCGCAAGCCUGAUGCAGCGACGCCGCGUGAGGGAUGACGGCCUUCGGGUUGUAAACCUCUUUCACCAGGGACGAAGCGAAAGUGACGGUACCUGGAGAAGAAGCACCGGCCAACUACGUGCCAGCAGCCGCGGUAAUACGUAGGGUGCGAGCGUUGUCCGGAAUUACUGGGCGUAAAGAGUUCGUAGGCGGUUUGUCGCGUCGUUCGUGAAAACUUGGGGCUUAACUCCAAGCGUGCGGGCGAUACGGGCAGACUUGAGUACUACAGGGGAGACUGGAAUUCCUGGUGUAGCGGUGAAAUGCGCAGAUAUCAGGAGGAACACCGGUGGCGAAGGCGGGUCUCUGGGUAGUAACUGACGCUGAGGAACGAAAGCGUGGGUAGCGAACAGGAUUAGAUACCCUGGUAGUCCACGCUGUAAACGGUGGGUACUAGGUGUGGGUUCCUUUUCACGGGAUCCGUGCCGUAGCUAACGCAUUAAGUACCCCGCCUGGGGAGUACGGCCGCAAGGCUAAAACUCAAAGGAAUUGACGG
rnacentral:rRNA from 1 species